rnacentral:tRNA from 1 species
GGUAGCUCAGUUGGUUAGAGCAUCUGACUGUUAAUCAGAAUGUCGUAAGUUCGAGUCUUACCUGAGGA